rnacentral:rRNA from 1 species
UACGUAGGGGGCAAGCGUUGUUCGGAAUUAUUGGGCGUAAAGGGCGCGUAGGCGGGUUGUUAAGUCCGUGGUGAAAGAUUUGAGCUCAACUCAAAAACUGCCAUUGAUACUGACGAUCUUGAAUAUAGUUGAGGUGGGCGGAAUGUGUCAUGUAGCGGUGAAAUGCUUAGAUAUGACACAGAACACCGAUGGCGAAGGCAGCUUGCUAAACUAUUAUUGACGCUGAGGCACGAAAGCGUGGGGAGCGAACAGG